rnacentral:tRNA from 1 species
UGGCUGAGCGGUAAAGCGCUUAGCUUCUAAACAGGGGUCCCGGGUUCGAAUCCUGG